rnacentral:rRNA from 1 species
UACAGGGGGUGCAAACGUUGCUCGGAAUCCUUGGGCGUAAAGCGCACGUUGGCUGUUUGUUAUGUCGGAUGUGAAAGCCCUUGGCUCAACUGAGGAAGUGCAUCCGAAACUGGCAAGCUAGAGUACUAAAGAGGGUCGCGGAAUUCCCGGUGUAGAGGUGAAAUUCGUAGAUAUCGGGAGGAACACCGGUGGCGAAGGCGGCGACCUGGGUAGAUACUGACGCUGAGGUGCGAAAGCGUGGGGAGCAAACAGG